rfam:Triticum urartu cultivar G1812 contig5851, whole genome shotgun sequence.
CAGAUACUCCCUCCGUCUCAAAAUUCUUGUCUUACAUUAGUCUAGAUACGGAUGUGUCUAAUACUAAAACGUGACUUGAUACAUCCGUAUUUAGACAAAUCUAACGCAAAAAUUUUGGGACAGAGGGAGUACAAG